rfam:Schistosoma rodhaini strain Burundi genome assembly, scaffold: SROB_scaffold0000049
GCACUGCUGAGGAGUCCCAUAAUAGGACGAAACGGUCGUUUAGUGC